GCGGCAACAGGAGCAAAUGCGAGCAGACAGCUGGAACGCACACCACAGCCUCCAGUGGAAGCAUUCCAAGAUCUGCAGCAAAUAUCUAGCUCAUUGGCAGAAGCAGGUUUUUGGCAUGAACAACUGUUUUUCACUUUGAUUUCGACUCCAGCAGAAGUUCUGCAAGAUGACCUGGGAAUAAAGUUGGCCAAGAAGCCUCCGAGGGGAGAUCGGCGUGGUGGAGAGCCCCGCGUCUACAUGAGGUGUGAGAUCCCAACAGGUUGACAAUGGAAGCAGAGCUGAGAAUCCGGUCAUCUUAUAUUAAGCCAGAUGCUAAAAAGGUUUGAAAAAAUCAAUGGACUCAGGCUGGUCUCCAACUCCUGACCUUAGGUGAUCCGCGUCGGCCUCCCAAAGUUCUUGGAUUACAGGCGUGAGCCACCGCACCCAGCCAGGCAGACUGAUUUCAAUUCUUUUGGUUAUACACCCAGUAGAGAGAUGGCGGGAUCACAUGGUAGUCCUCUUUUUAAUUUUUUUGAGAAAACUUCAUACUGUUUUCUAUAAUGGCUGUACUAAUUUACAUUUCCAUUAGCAGUGUGCCAGGGUUCCCUUUUCCCCACAUCCUCACCAACACUUGUUUUCUUUUGUCUUAAUAAAAGCCAUUCUGAC
rnacentral:lncRNA from 10 species